rnacentral:rRNA from 1 species
AGUGAACGCUGGCGGUAGGCCUAACACAUGCAAGUCGAACGGCAGCACAGUAAGAGCUUGCUCUUACGGGUGGCGAGUGGCGGACGGGUGAGGAAUACAUCGGAAUCUACUUUUUCGUGGGGGAUAACGUAGGGAAACUUACGCUAAUACCGCAUACGACCUACGGGUGAAAGCAGGGGAUCUUCGGACCUUGCGCGAUUGAAUGAGCCGAUGUCGGAUUAGCUAGUUGGCGGGGUAAAGGCCCACCAAGGCGACGAUCCGUAGCUGGUCUGAGAGGAUGAUCAGCCACACUGGAACUGAGACACGGUCCAGACUCCUACGGGAGGCAGCAGUGGGGAAUAUUGGACGAUGGGCGCAAGCCUGAUCCAGCCAUACCGCGUGGGUGAAGAAGGCCUUCGGGUUGUGAAGCCCUUUUGUUGGGAAAGAAAAGCAGCAGGUUAAUACCCCGCUGUUCUGACGGUACCCAAAGAAUAAGCACCGGCUAACUUCGUG